rnacentral:rRNA from 1 species
AAUGAAUUGGCGCCCGCCCAAGCGGUCGGUUAUGCGGGUUAAUUAAUUGGAAGGCGAAGGACCUUCCCAAGCAGGUCUUGACAUCGAAAGACCCAGAGGAGAUAGAGUUUUUCGGAAGCAACAAACAACAGUGCAUGCAUGUUUUCAUCAGCGUCGUGAGAAGAGGGUUAAGUCCCGCAAAGAGAGCAACCCUUAUCCUAGUUACCAGCACGCAAUGGUUGGGCACUCUAGGAAGACUGCCAGUGACAACCCGGAGGAAGGUGGGGAUGACGUCAAAUCAUCAUGCCCCUUAUGACGUGGGCUACACACGUGCUACAAUUGGGAGUACAAGGAGAUGGAAACCGGGAAGGGGAACCAAUCCCAGAAACCCGACCCCAGUUCGGAUUGCAGGCUGCAACCCGCCUCAUGAAGUUGAAUCGCUAGUAAUCGC